UACAGAGGUCUCAAGCGUUUGUUCGGAUUCAUUGGGCGUAAAGGGUGCGUAGGCGGCGCGGUAAGUCGGGUGUGAAAUUUCGAGGCUUAACUUCGAAACUGCAUUCGAUACUGCCGUGCUUGAGGACUGGAGAGGAGACUGGAAUUUACGGUGUAGCGGUGAAAUGCGUAGAUAUCGUAAGGGAAGACCAGUGGCGAAGGCGGGUCUCUGGACAGUUCCUGA
rnacentral:rRNA from 1 species